UUUUUUUUUAUGAUAAACCCUAUCGGCUGAUCCGGCCAGCCUCGGUAGAAACGCACUGAAGUACUUCAGAGUCAACUUCUUCCGAAGGACCACCACACUGUAUGUCCCGAGAUUGGAAUGCUUUCCGACUAAUGGUAGGAGGUAAUAAGGUCGCCUGCAUUUCUGACUACCAGAUAAACCAAUUGGGGCAAAGCUCAACUGACAGACUUCCCAAAUAAAGUUGUAUACUUCUUAUAAGUACAAUAAUUAAAGUUGCUAAGCCCAAACAAUUCAUGUGAUGGUCAAGUCUUAAAAUUUCAUGGGAAAUUCCGUCAAAAUUACCUUUAUUUUCUUGUAAUUAAUGAUAU
rnacentral:sRNA from 1 species